UCAAAAAAAAAACAAUUCUACCGGAAGAUUCGAGUGUAUUCACGUUUCAAUCAUGACAUUUUUCGCUUCUCUACUCGUCCUCAACACUAGUUGACGCGCAGUCCUCCGAGACUUCACGUUGAACGAUAAAUUCGAUUGCUGAGCUCUUACUGAUCCCUGGGUGACAAACACCCCCUUAAAUAGCCAAAAUUGGAGACAUGGGCGAGGGACCGCCCUCGCAGAGAUUCGAGCAUCGACCGAUCGGUGUACGUGCCAAAUUCAUGCAAGCACACGCAAGAGUGGGGAGGCCUUAUCCACGUAACGAUUAAUUAAUCGCAUUUCUCGAAGCGAGAAUUGAUUUUGCUUUACAUACGAUUUUCGUAUCACGCAUGCCGACGCGCGUUUGCCUGAGCACGAACAAUUAUGAAAAUUACGGUCUCCCAAAAUUCAAUGUAAUUAUCAAGCGAUUCAAAAUUAUUGCCUUUGUACACAGUCGCAAUGUAAAUAAAAAUCGUUCAUUCGUGUUUUA